CUGAAAUAAGGUCGUACUGGAGCACCCGAAGCAGAUGUGGUGUUAGCUACAUGGGCCUGCUGGGAUGACCCCUCAUGAACUGACCUUUGCCCCUAGGUGGGGUGCCACUGAAUCCUCCAAACUACCAGGGCCACUUGUCUCUUGGUGCAAACUCUCCGCUAUGGUUACGAGUACGCUCGAUCCUCUGAGCUAUAUCCACAACCUGCUGAAAGGAAGUUCCCAUCUCUAUGUCAUGUGCCAUAUGUACCUGAAUCUCCGGGUGCAGACAUGCAAUGAACCUCCGCACCCUCUCUACAUUUAUGGGGAGUAUGAUAGCUGCAUGGCGAGACAAGCCAGUGAAUCUUGCCUCAUAGUUAGUGACAAACAUGUGACCCUGAUGGAGUCACUCAAACUAAACCCGAAGCGCCUCUUUCUCUGAAGGUGGUAUGUACUUCUCCAACAACAGAUUUGUAAAAUGAUCCCAAGUUAAGGGAGGUGAACAUGCUGGUGUGCUAAGAAGGUAAGCCUACCACCAUUUGCAGGUCUUGCCCUCAAGCUGAAAAGUGGCAAAGUCCACCCUGUUGGACUCCAAUAUCCCCAUGUUCCGAAGCCUAUCCUUGUACCGGUCAAUGAAGAACUAGUGAUCCUCUGAACGCUCACCUCCAAAAGUAUAGGGGGCGAAGCCCAGUCCAUUUGCCCAGCUGCUUCUGCUGAUCAACGGCCGCAACUGGUACGACCUCUAGCAUAGCUGCUGCAACAAGCUGGGCUCCGCCCGCAGGUAGUGCACCUGGGGUAUAAUAAACGGCAGCAGCAUGCCUUGGAGCCUGAUUGGUAGGGGUUUGUGCUACCCCUCCCGCUGAGAUACGGCGGGGUCUGCUGGAAUAAACUAGCCUACAUCAUAAAGUCCAUGAACCACAACUUAUGGCCCAUGACCUCCUGGAAACCCGGUGCAGUCAUGAAAUUUGAUAGGGCUGGCAUAGCUGCAUGCUCCUCACCCUGCUACUUAAUAAUAUGAUUCUCUACUGGAUCCACUGGUGGCACAACUGUAGUAACUCUAGGAUGCCCUCGUCCUCUGACUGGAGCUGGAGCCCUCCCCCGGUAUCUGCCUUAGCCUCUAACAAUAGGGGGAGCAGCCACUCGACCGCCUGGUACAUCCGCCGCGUGCAUUCUCACCAUUUGUGAGAGAUCAAUAGAAAGAUACUUAGUAUAAUAUCAAUUACAUGAUAUGAUAUGAAGAAAGAGAAGUUUCCUAACACCAUAUAGCCUCUCAAAUAUAAGUACGGACGUCUCUGCACCGAACCGCAAGACUCUUUUAGGCUUGCUCAUGACUAGUUAGACCUACGUGAACCUAGUACUCUGAUACCAAUCUGUCACGACCCAAAUCUAUAAUAGGUCGAUACUGCACCUAAUGUUAUCGUUAGACAAGCCCACAAGUGUAACUACAAUUUAUUUACCUUUUUAACAAUAAUACGGAAGUUUUCCUUUUUAGAGAACACUUUAAACUAGAUUUCAUGCUACUGUGAUAAAUCUUUUUAAAUAAAAUACCAACAUAAUAAGUACAUAUCCUGCAGUGAUAGAAAUGACAAGUACAAAAAUACAUAUGUGCUACAAAUCCCCAAAACUCGGCGUCACAAGUACAUGAGCAAUCUAGAGGAUAUGCAAAAUAAACCACUAAAGCCACUGUUCGAAAGCAAUAGACAAGAAUAGUAAAUAAGGUAGAAGGAGAAUGUGGUGCUGCGAAUCGUAGCAAGGCAAGUAGCUCACCACUAAGUCUCUGUAGAUAAUCGGCUACACACCCCCGUGACCACUGGUGGAACCUGUCUCAGUACCUACAUAUCAGUGUAGAAGUGUAGUAUGAGUACGAAAAAUAACGCGUACCCAGUAAGUAUCUAGUCUAACCUCAAAGAAGUAGUAGCGAGGGGUCGACUUAACACUUACUAGAGGUCAAUAAUAAUAAUAUCAGUGCAUAAAGUAGACAUGGUGAACAUACAACAGACAUCAAUGAAACAAAUAAAAGCAACUACAAUGAAUACAACAUGAGUUCGUAUCACAUCACCAACAUCUUAUAACUGGUCGUGAAGGCACUAACUUAAUUAUACCUAAACUGGAAACUCAUUUCAAUUAUUAAGCAAGAAAUUGCCGAGGUGAACAACCCAAUCCCAUAAGAAUAAUGGUACUCAGUACUGCUAAGAUGAAUGUCCCGAUCCCAUAAGAAUAGUGUUACCAUCAUACUGCCGAGGUGAACAACCCGAUCCUAUAAGAGUGAUGUUAUCAUACUGCUGAGACGAAUAGCCCGAUCCCAUAAGAGUGGUGUUAUCAUACUGCCUAGGUGAAUAACCCGAUCCCAUAAGAGUGGUUUUAUCAUGCUGCUGAUGCAAAUGGUCCAAUCCCAUAAGAGUAGAGAAAUUUACCUCACCCGCGUAAGUACUUGCGAGAUGAGAAGACAUGGAUUUUUUAUAGUUUAUAAAGUAUUCCUCCAUUUUCUGAAAUAAGAAGGCUAAGUAAAUAAUGGAAAAUUUAAAUCCCUAGUCACAGCUCUAAUCAAGACAAUUUAUACGCAUGAUACAUACAACAGUAUAAGUAAAAGCAUGAUGUGAAUCUAAGUCUACCCAAACAUUAUCAUGAAAUAUAGCUACCCACGGAAUUCAUCACCUCGUGCGUACGUAGCUCCCCACACAAGUAACACACAACAAGGAUAUGCCUAAGGGGAUGAGUUCCCUCUUACAAGGUUAGGCAAGAGACUUACCUCGUUCCCAAGAUCACUUUCUGGUCCAUAAUUCGCUCUGAAAGCCCCAUGUCGAUGCCGAACAAUCCGAAACUAAUAAAAUAUUUUAGAGAUUAAUCAAUAUACACUCCAAAGUUUAUAUUUUAGCUCCUAGAGUCAUAACCAACCCAAAUUGGAAGAUUCCUAAAAUUUUCUCCUAGGCCCACAUGCUCGGAUUCCGAAUUUUUGAAGAUAAAAAUUAUCCAUAACUUCACGAACCCAAAUAUAUAAUUUUAACUCAAUUACAUAAUCAAUUUCGUGGUCUAAUCCCAUUUUUAUUAAAACCUAGGUUUACCAACAAUCUCCUAAAAUUUUCACAAUUUUUAUGUUAAAAUCUACCCAUAAUGUAUGUAUUAAACUCAUAUUGUGUAGAAAUUACUUAGCUCAAAGUGCUAGGUAAAAACCCUUCCUUAAAGAGCUCUAGAGUCAACCAACAAGUAAGAGGACACUUGCGAACGCAAUGCACUAAUCUGCCUCCUCAUUGCGAACGUGUUCCCUCAAGUGCGAAUGCGUAAGGCAAGUGGGGUGCUUAGGCCCAUGCCCUCGACUUUACGCGAAAGCGACAAGUCAACCGCGAACGCGAAGGUGACCAGUCCCAAGCCUUCGCGAAUGCAUCCAUGACUUCAUGAACGCAAAGAACAAAACCACCAAGUCCCAAAUUCCUUCUUCGAGUACACGAUCCCACCCACGCGAUCACGAAGAAGGAAACUAGAACCAGCAGUGACAUCAUUUUGGACUUAGCUCCGGGCAGUUCGAAACUCAUCCAAGCUGCUCGGGACCCCGUCCAAAUGCACCAACAAUUCCAUAACAUAAUACAGACCCCCUCGAACUCUCAAAAUAUUUAAAAUAAUAUCAAAUCUAUGAAUCGCACCCCAAAACCAAAUCGAAUCAAGUUAUGAACUUCAAGCUUUUCAACUUACUCCGAACGCGCCGAAUCAUACUUAGACUACUCAGAAUGACACCAAAUUUUGCGUGCAACUCAUAAAUCACCAUACGAAAAUAUUUCUAGGCUCAGAAUCCCAAACUCACCUUGAUAACACCAAAAUCUACUCUAAACCAAACUUAAAGAAUUUGAAAGACCUUUAAUGUGCCAACUUUCAACAUUAAGCGUUGAAAUGCUUCCGGGGUCAUCCGAAACCCGAUGCAAACAUACAACCAAGUAUAAAAUCAUCAUACAAACCUAUUAGGACUGUCAAAUCCUGAUUCUGAGGUUCUUUACUCAAAAUGUUGACUCAAGUCAAACGUAAAUAUUAUAGGCUACUUAUUAAGGAACUAAGUGUUUCAAUUUCAUCGAACCCUUCUAAGCCCGAACCAACCACACCCAUAAGUCAUAAAACAGUAAAGGUACAUACGGGGAGUCUUAAUUAGGAGAACGGGUGACCUAGAAAGCAAAACGACUAAUCGGGUCGUUACAUGACUACCAGAUCUUAGAAAAAGAAGAAGGAUGUUAUUGCAACAAAUAAUGAGGCUAAAGAGAGAAAAUACAUGCCAACUCUACCUUCCCCCAGAAGCAAAGAAGUGAGAAGUUGCACAAAUAAUUUGAGCACUUUCUAGAAGUGUUCAAGCUGGUGCAUGUGAAUAUACCUUUCACAUAGGUGCUUUCUUAGAUGCCAGCUUAUGCUAAAUUCAUGAAGGAGAUAUUGUCCAAGAAGCGAAAAGUAGAAUAGGCAUCGGUUGUCAAGAUGAUAGAGGAUUGUAGUACCAUUUUUUAAAAUAAGCUCCCUCAAAAAUAUGGAGAUCCAGGGAGUUUUACUGUACAUUGCUCUUUAGGAAGUACUAAAUUUCAAAAAUCUUUGUGUGACUUAGGUGCUUCUAUUAAUCUUAUGCCUUUGUCUAUUUUCAGAAAAUUAGACGGAAAUAUUAGAGAAAUCAGGUCGAUACCUGUGUCCUUAAAGCUGACAAAUCAGACCAUCAUCAUACCUGAAGGAAUUGUUGAAGAUGUACUAGUUCGGGUAGACAAAUUUGUGUUCCCUGUGGACUUCAUUGUGGUGAACAUGGAGGAAAAUAGGAAGGUCCUCUGAAUUUAGGAAGACCAUUCUUGGCUACUUAUAAGUAGGGAUUUUAAGCUAUUAUUUGCUCUCUUUUACUUGUGUUUUGGGCCAAAAAUGCGUGAAGGUAUUCUUGGAAACUAAUGUAAUAUUCUUGCUUGUAGGAAUUGUUCAAAAUGAGCCAAAGGAGUCAUAAUCACCUCAUAAAGGAGUCAAAACUUGAACAAAAACCAAGAUCAGGCCAAGAGAUCUGAAACGCGGACCGCACAAAUAUUGUGCGGCUGCAAAAGCCACAACACGGCCGCGAUAAAAAAUACGCGAUCCACAAAAGGGAGGUUCAGAGAGUUGCAUUUUCAGGCUAAAUAACAAGCGCGACCGCACCAGAAAUGUGCGGCCGUGAAAGUCUCUCUACGACUGCAAUGGAAAUUAUGCGGACCACAAUGCAUGAAGUUCAGAGAGCUCACAACUUGAGCAAAAUAAAGAAGUGCAGUCCGCGUCAGAAUUGCGCGGCCGCAGAAGUCCCAUACGUGGCCGCGAUUAAAAUUAUGCGGUCCGCGAAAUUUAGCUCAACCUAAAUCCAGAUUUUUAGAACGCGGACCACGAUCAGAAUUACACGGCUACAAAAGUAAGAAUGCGGCCGCACUCAGAAUUACGCGUCCGCACAACCUCCAUAUGGGUAUUUUUGUCUGAAAAUUUUAGCUUAGUAUAAAUAGAAUUUUUUGUCAUUUUUAGGUUAUGUUAUGUAUUAUCUGAGCACGUGAGAUGGCUGUACAUUCCGUUUUGGGCAAUUUUGUACUAAAAUUAUCUUUCAACAUUAGAUUUCAUCUUUUAAUCUAGUAUUAAGAAUUUUAUCUUCUUUUCAUCUUUGAUUUCUGUUAUUUCCAUGAGUAGCUGGACCCAUAGCUAGGAUUGUGACCCAACCCUAGUGUGAGUAUUUAAUUGGUAUUGAAUUCUAGGGCUUGAAAGUGUAUGGAUAAGUGAUAUUUAUCCUAGUUCUUGCUAGAACUAUAGAAUUAGUGGUUGCAAACACUGAUUCAUGCCUUUAUGACUUAGUCUCUACUUGAGAAAGAGGGAUUAAGUCUAGAAAAACUAGGCUAGCAAGGAGUUGGGGUGAACUCAAGGAAUUGAUAGCCCCAAUUAAAGGGUUAAACUUAGAGAUAGUAAUAUCCAACUUGAGCUAAUAUCACUUGAAUUGUAUGAAUACCCAUUUGGAUUUGAGAAAGCUGUCACACCUCCCUUUUCUACCCGAAAGGGGUAUAGGGGAGUUUUUUCAAUUUAAGUAACAAUCAAAACAUGAUUAUUUAUAUUAAAAUCAGAGUCUCCACUUGGGAUAGUUUAUUGGUGUCCCAAGUCACCGGUUAAAAAUUCCGAAUCGAGGAAGAUGACUCUUAUUUAUGGUCUGCGAACACAAAAGACCGGGUAAGGAAUUCUAUUAAUCCGGAAGAAGGUGUUAGGCACUCCUGAGUUCCGUGGUUUUAGUACGAUCGCUUAGUAAUUUAUACUUGGCUUAUUUUAUCUAAUUACUCAUUUUAGGACCUAUAUUUUUUUUACCUUUUACCUCUAUUAAUCACUUGAUAAUCCGUAUUUAAAUAAUUAUCGAGUUACGCGUAUGUAUACUCAUUUCGUUUGGCGCAUCAAGAAUCAUGUCACGCGUACAUGUACACAAUUAAUCACGCUUUAUUAAUUAUCAAGAUUAUUUGGCCAAAGUCACGCGAACGCGUACCUCAAUUUAUUUUGAAAAUCAUAAUUAUGUCACGCGAACGUGUACACAAUCACGAUGAUAAAUUUAAACGCGUCUAAAGCAUACUAAUCGUAUUCAUAAUUCUUCCUAAACUUUGAGAUUAUUGAGAUGCCAAGAGUUUAAGGAAUAAUACCAUUGUGAAGCAAAAUAUAAUUUACCUAUUUUGAUUUGAUAUGUAUGCAAAGCCAUUAACAUGAUGCCGAGAAAUUAGCCAACCUAGUUAUUAAUCCUCUCGAUUAAAACAUCAAGGCCAUUUCCAUUAACGAACUUACUGACAGUACCAUUUUUACUUCAUGAGUAAGUUUAAUAGCAUUUUCCUUGUUUUUCCAUAUAUCAAACAAAUAACAAUUUUUACCAAAAUAAAUUUAAAAAAUAAAAUCAAUCAACAAAAGGCCUUCUGCUUAACUCAAUAAAUGGCGAGAUCACAUAGUAACAAAUAAUUCAUAACCUGACAAAGUUCAAGAUUCAAAUCAAUUUAUUAUACAAUCUUAUCUAACUCAAAAUCUCCAAUUUCAUCAUUAUUUAUCUAACUCAAAAGCAACUAACCAAAUAGCAUGAAAAUAAUAGCUUACUAAUCAAGAUAACAACCAAACAACAUGCUAAUAUAUGAUAACAAUACGAAUUUCCUAACUUCCUCCAAUACUAACAAAACAAAAUUGAACUUAUAAGUAGACUCAGUCCGAGUUAUGGAUUCAACACUCGCAUAGAUAUAUAAACUUGAUGAAAUAAUAUUUCAAACAAAAUCCAUGAAUCAAACUAGGAAGAUACGAUACAUGUGUAAAAGAAACGGACCUUUAUUGCCGAAUCCGAAUUUUAAAGCUUUGCAACUCAAAAGACGGACCAAACACCAGCGACCACGAUCGAAAACCAGUGACGGCGAACUCAACGACUCAACCUUGGAAAUGCGAUUUUUUUGUGCAAAAAGGGACUGUUUGGUGUUGAUUUUCAGCCAAGUUUUGGCUGGUUUUCGAGCUAUUUCGCAGCUUCCUUUGGCCAGAUUUUUCAGCAGAUUCGAAGCUGAUUUUGCUGCUAUCUAACGCUGGAUUUUGGGUGGUGUUUUGCAGCUCUGUUUGCUGCGUUUUCUAGCUGAUUUCAGUAGAUUUUAGCUUGUUCUUGGGCGCUGUUUCAAGGUCUGUUUGAAGGCUGGUUUUUGGCUGAUUUCAUUUAGAAAUAGAGCUGCUCUUAGAGGUCAUUGUUGGACUGUAUUGGGGUGAUUUUAAGCUACAAUUUGGACUGGUUUUACAGCCAAACUGCUGCUGCAUUUUUGCACAUGUUGCAGCUGAUUUUCAAUUGAUUAAAGGAGCUUUAAGGACUGAUUUUCAUGGCUGAAAAAAUGGGCUCUUUGGAGGGUGUUUGAGGGUAGUUUAAUGAAGGUAUUUUAGGAAGGAGAAGAAGGUAAGCAACUUUUGUUUUAGCUCUUGGAUCUAGAUCUUAGGAAGAGAAAUGAGAUGACUUUUGGUGGUAAUUUACAUGGCUUCUAAGAGAAAAUUGGAACUGAUUUUUGUGAGAAAGGAGAUGACCCAGUUCCUUAUUCCUUUAUUCUCGUUCUCUCUCUGUAUUUGCUUAUCCCCUUUUUGUGCUCUCUGUAUUUUGUGUUUUUUGUUUUCUUCCUCGAUUUCUCCUCCCCUUUUUAUUUUUACCCCCUCC
rnacentral:lncRNA from 1 species